rnacentral:rRNA from 1 species
CCUACGGGCGGCAGCAGUGGGGAAUAUUGGACAAUGGGGGCAACCCUGAUCCAGCCAUGCCGCGUGUGUGAAGAAGGCCCUCGGGUUGUAAAGCACUUUCAGUGAGGAAGAACGUGUGGGGGAUUAUACCCAUCAGGAAAGACAACACACACAGGAAACGCACCGGCUAACUCCGUGCCAGCAGCCGCGGUAAUACGGAGGGUGCGAGCGUUAAUCGGAAUUACUGGGCGUAAAGCGCGCGUAGGUGGCUUGAUAAGCCGGUUGUGAAAGCCCCGGGCUCAACCUGGGAACGGCAUCCGGAACUGUCAAGCUAGAGUGCAGGAGAGGAAGGUAGAAUUCCCGGUGUAGCGGUGAAAUGCGUAGAGAUCGGGAGGAAUACCAGUGGCGAAGGCGGCCUUCUGGACUGACACUGACACUGAGGUGCGAAAGCGUGGGUAGCAAACAGGAUUAGAUACCCGUGUAGUC